rnacentral:rRNA from 1 species
GAUCAUGGCUCAGAACGAACGCUGGCGGCAGGUCUUAGGCAUGCAAGUCGAACGGAUGACAGAGAGCUUGCUCUCUGAAGUCAGUGGCGCACGAGUGAGUAACGCGUGGGAAACUGCCCUUCACUGGGGAAUAACGUUUGGAAACGAACGCUAAUACCGCAUACGCCCGCAAGGGGAAAGAUUUAUCGGUGAUGGAUGUGCCCGCGUUGGAUUAGCUAGUUGGUGGGGUAAUAGCCUACCAAGGCGAUGAUCCAUAGCUGGUCUGAGAGGACGAUCAGCCACGCUGGAACUGAGACACGGUCCAGACUCCUACGGGAGGCAGCAGCUAAGAAUAUUGGGCAAUGGAGGAAACUCUGACCCAGCCCAUGCCGCGUGAAUGAAGAAGGCCUUCGGGUUGUAAAGUUCUUUUAGUCAUGAAGAUGAUGACAGUAGUGACAGAAAAAGCACCGGCUAACUUCGUGCCAGCCGCAGC